AUUUGUUCAUUUAACCGUUGCAUGUCCCAAUUCGUAAGUGUAGUUGAAGUAAGUUCUCUGAAGAAAUUGCUAAGCUCUGUUAUUGGUUGCCAAACAUUAUUCGGUAACAAUUCUCUGAGAGCUAUAGGAAGAAUUCGUUGCAAGAAAACAUGACAGUCGUGGCUUUUCAUACCAAAAAGUCUUAGCUUCCGACUAUCAACACAUCUCCCUAGAUUAGAAACAUAUCCAUCAGGGAAUUUCAGUGUUUUAAGCCAAUCACACAGUAUCAUCUUUGAUUGCUUGUCUAAACAAUAACUUGCUUUUGGAUAUUUUUCGCUAAUUAGAUCUUUCUUCAAUUCUGGUCUCUUGCAUAUUUCAUUUAAAUCUUCCCUUGAUUUUAUA
rnacentral:lncRNA from 1 species